rnacentral:rRNA from 1 species
AGUGAACGCUGGCGGUAGGCCUAACACAUGCAAGUCGAACGGCAGCACAGGAGAGCUUGCUCUCUGGGUGGCGAGUGGCGGACGGGUGAGGAAUACAUCGGAAUCUACCUUUUCGUGGGGGAUAACGUAGGGAAACUUACGCUAAUACCGCAUACGACCUACGGGUGAAAGUGGGGGACCGCAAGGCCUCACGCGAUUAGAUGAGCCGAUGUCCGAUUAGCUAGUUGGCGGGGUAAUGGCCCACCAAGGCGACGAUCGGUAGCUGGUCUGAGAGGAUGAUCAGCCACACUGGAACUGGGACACGGUCCAGACUCCGACGGGAGGCAGCAGUGGGGAAUAUUGGACAAUGGGCGCAAGCCUGAUCCAGCCAUACCGCGUGGGUGAAGAAGGCCUUCGGGUUGUAAAGCCCUUUUGUUGGGAAAGAAAUCCUGUCGAUUAAUACUCGGCGGGGAUGACGGUACCCAAAGAAUAAGCACCGGCUAACUUCGUGCCAGCCGCCGCAGUAAAAC